rnacentral:rRNA from 1 species
GAUGAACGCUGGCGGCGUGCCUAAUACAUGCAAGUCGAGCGAACAGAUGAGGAGCUUGCUCCUCUGACGUUAGCGGCGGACGGGUGAGUAACACGUGGAUAACCUACCUAUAAGACUGGGAUAACUUCGGGAAACCGGAGCUAAUACCGGAUAAUAUAUUGAACCGCAUGGUUCAAUAGUGAAAGACGGUUUUGCUGUCACUUAUAGAUGGAUCCGCGCCGCAUUAGCUAGUUGGUAAGGUAACGGCUUACCAAGGCAACGAUGCGUAGCCGACCUGAGAGGGUGAUCGGCCUCACUGGAACUGAGACACGGUCCAGACUCCUACGGGAGGCAGCAGUAGGGAACCUUCCGCAAUGGGCGAAAGCCUGACGGAGCAACGCCGCGUGAGUGAUGAAGGUCUUCGGAUCGUAAAACUCUGUUAUUAGGGAAGAACAAAUGUGUAAGUAACUAUGCACGUCUUGACGGUACCUAAUCAGAAAGCCACGGCUAACUACGUG